UACGUAGGGUGCGAGCGUUGUCCGGAAUUAUUGGGCGUAAAGAGCUCGUAGGCGGUGUGUCACGUCGGCCGUGAAAACCUGCAGCUUAACUGUGGGCGUGCGGUCGAUACGGGCAUCACUGGAGUUCGGCAGGGGGGACUGGAAUUCCUGGUGUAGCGGUGAAAUGCGCAGAUAUCAGGAGGAACACCGGUGGCGAAGGCGGGUCUCUGGGCCGAUACUGACGCUGAGGAGCGAAAGCGUGGGGAGCAAACAGG
rnacentral:rRNA from 1 species